AUUGAACGCUGGCGGCAGGCCUAACACAUGCAAGUCGAGCGGAUGAAGGGAGCUUGCUCCUGGAUUCAGCGGCGGACGGGUGAGUAAUGCCUAUGAAUCUGCCUGGUUUUGGGUGAGAACGUCCGGAAACGGGCGGUAAUACCGCCUACUACGUGAUGGUGAAAGUUGGGGGGCUUCGGACCUUACGCUAUCUGAUGGGUCUAGGUCGGAUUAGCUAGUUGGUGGGGUAAGGGCCGACCUAGCCGACGAUUCGUAGCUUGUCUGCGAGGAUGAUCAGUCACACUGGAAGUGAGACACGGUCCAGGCUCCUACGGGACGCAGCAGUGGGGAAUAUUGGACAAUGGGCGGAAGCCUGAUCCAGCCAUGCCACGUGUGUGAAGAAGGUGUUGGGAUUGUAAAGCACUUCAAGUUGGUAGGAAGGGCAGUAAGUUAAUACCUUGCUGUUUUGACGUUAACAACAGAAUAAGCACCGGCUAACUUCGUG
rnacentral:rRNA from 1 species